UGGGGAAUAUUGGACAAUGGGCGAAAGCCUGAUCCAGCCAUGCCGCGUGUGUGAAGAAGGUCUUCGGAUUGUAAAGCACUUUAAGUUGGGAGGAAGGGCAGUUACCUAAUACGUGAUUGUUUUGACGUUACCGACAGAAUAAGCACCGGCUAACUCUGUGCCAGCAGCCGCGGUAAUACAGAGGGUGCAAGCGUUAAUCGGAAUUACUGGGCGUAAAGCGCGCGUAGGUGGUUAGUUAAGUUGGAUGUGAAAUCCCCGGGCUCAACCUGGGAACUGCAUUCAAAACUGUACUGACUAGAGUAUGGUAGAGGGUGGUGGAAUUUCCUGUGUAGCGGUGAAAUGCGUAGAUAUAGGAAGGAACACCAGUGGCGAAGGCGACCACCUGGACUGAUACUGACACUGAGGUGCGAAAGCGUGGGGAGCAAACAGGAUUAGAUACCC
rnacentral:rRNA from 1 species